AUCUUUCCAUUUUCUUCUAUUAUCACAUCAUCUUUAAUCCUUUUCUUUUUGGCUUUAGCUUUAGCUUUGGCUUUGGCUUUGGCUUUGGCUUUGGACUACCAGGAUCAUGCGACGAUCUUUUAUUCGGAUCGAUUUCUGUGAUCUUCCUCGGAUCGAAAUAUUCAUGAUCUUUCUCGGAUCAAAGUGGCAAUGAUCUUUCUCGGAUCAAAUCAUUCAUGAUCUUUCUCGAAUCAGAUUCUUCAUGAUCUUUCUCGGAUCAUAUUAUUCUUCCACACAUAAGCCUGUGGGGGCUGUCCCAGGCAUAAGCUCCUGGCAAGCUAUUCCACAUGACAAGACCA
rnacentral:lncRNA from 1 species